rnacentral:rRNA from 1 species
UAAUACAGAGGGUGCGAGCGUUGUCCGGAAUCACUGGGCGUAAAGGGCGCGUAGGCGGUGGGGUAAGCGUGCGGUGAAAGCUCGGAGCUCAACUCCGCGUCGGCCGUGCGAACUGCACCACUGGAGCAUGUCAGAGGCAGGCGGAAUUCCGGGUGUAGCGGUGGAAUGCGUAGAGAUCCGGAAGAACACCGGUGGCGAAGGCGGCCUGCUGGGACAUUGCUGACGCUGAAGCGCGACAGCGUGGGGAGCAAACAGGAUUAGAUACCCUGGUAGUCCACGCCGUAAACGAUGGGCACUAGGUGCUUGGGGGAGCGACCCCCUGAGUGCCGGCGCUAACGCAUUAAGUGCCCCGCCUGGGGAGUACGGCCGCAAGGCUG